GCCCUCGUGGAUAAGUGGUUAUCACUUCUUUUCCAUAAGGGAUUCAAGGCGAUGGAGGUUACGCAGGUUCGACUCCUGCCGAGGGCA